rnacentral:sRNA from 1 species
CGUCCUCCACCUGCUGCGGGCAGAUAAAAUGGAUGUGCGAGUCGAUGCCGCCCGCCGUGGCGAUGAGCCCCUCGCCCGCGAUGGCCUCGGUGCCGGGGCCGACCACGAUGUCCACGCCGGGCUGGGUGUCGGGGUUGCCCGCCUUGCCGAUGGCGUGGAUGCGGCCGUUUUUGAGGCCGAUGUCCGCCUUGACGAUGCCCCAGUGGUCCAGGAUCAGGGCGUUGGUGAUGACCGUGUCCACGGCCGUGUCGUUGGCCGCCUGGGACUGGCCCAUGCCGUCGCGCAG